UUCCGGUUGAUCCCGCCGGACCCCACUGCUAUCGAGAUGGGACUAAGGUAUGCUAGUCGAACGACCAGAACUAUGUCUGGAAGUGGCACACUGCUCAGUAACACGUAGCUAACCUACCCUUAGGACGUGGAUACCCCCGAGAAAUUGGGGUUAAUCCGCGAUAGAUGUAAUGUCCUGGAAUGGUAUUACGUCUAAAGGUAUUUCAUACAUGUUUGAAAUAUGCCUAAGGAUGGGGCUGCGGCCGAUCAGGCUGUUGGUGAGGUAAUGGCUCACCAAACCUUUGACCGGUACGGGCCAUGAGAGUGGUAGCCCGAAGAUGGACACUGAGACAAGGGUCCAGGCCCUAAGGGGCGCAGCAACCGCGAAACCUCCACAAUGCACUCACGUGCGAUGGGGCUAUCUCGAGUGCCACCUGAUGAAGGUGGCUUUUCCUUGGUCUUCAAAGCCUUGGGAAUAAGAGGGGGGCAAGACUGGUGUCAGCCGCCGCGGUAACACCAGCCCCUCGAGUGGUGGGGAUGAUUAUUUGGCCUAAAGCGUCCGUAGCCGGCCGAGCAAGUCUUCCGUUAAAUCCAGCGUCUCAAGCGUUGGACCGCGGGAGAUACUACACGGCUAGAGAGUGGGAGAGGUCAGCGGUAUUCUGGGGGUAGGGGCGAAAUCCUUUGAUCCCCGGAGGACCACCAGUGGCGAAGGCUGCUGACUAGAACACGUCUGACGGUCAGGGACGAAAGCUGGGGUAGCGAACCGGAUUAGAUACCCGGGUAGUCCCAGCCGUAAACGAUGCAUGCUAGGUGUUGGGUUGGCCACGAGCCACCCCAGUGCCGCAGGGAAGCCGUUAAGCAUGCCGCCUGGGAAGUACGAUCGCAAGAUUGAAACU
rnacentral:rRNA from 1 species